AGAGUUUGAUCAUGGCUCAGAGUGAACGCUGGCGGUAGGCCUAACACAUGCAAGUCGAACGGCAGCACAGGAGAGCUUGCUCUCUGGGUGGCGAGUGGCGGACGGGUGAGGAAUACAUCGGAAUCUACUUUUUCGUGGGGGAUAACGUAGGGAAACUUACGCUAAUACCGCAUACGACCUACGGGUGAAAGCAGGGGAUCUUCGGACCUUGCGCGAUUGAAUGAGCCGAUGUCGGAUUAGCUAGUUGGCGGGGUAAAGGCCCACCAAGGCGACGAUCCGUAGCUGGUCUGAGAGGAUGAUCAGCCACACUGGAACUGAGACACGGUCCAGACUCCUACGGGAGGCAGCAGUGGGGAAUAUUGGACAAUGGGCGCAAGCCUGAUCCAGCCAUACCGCGUGGGUGAAGAAGCCUUCGGGUUGUAAAGCCCUUUUGUUGGGAAAGAAAUCCAGCUGGCUAAUACCCGGUUGGGAUGACGGUCCCAAAGAAUAAGCACCGGCUAACUUCGUGCCAGCAGCCCGCGGUAAUACGAAGGGUGCAAGCGUUACUCGGAAUUACUGGGCGUAAAGCGUGCGUAGGUGGUCGUUUAAGUCCCGUUGUGAAAGCCCUGGGCUCAACCUGGGAACUGCAGUGGAUCUGGCGACUAGAGUGUGGUAGANGGUACCGGAAUUCCUGGUGUAACAAUGAAAUGCGUAAA
rnacentral:rRNA from 1 species